rnacentral:lncRNA from 1 species
AUGUUGGCAGAGAUUCUGAAGACAAGUAUGUUGUGCUUUAACUGUUCCCAGGAGACCUCAGCUGAUGUUCUUAGUGGCUUAUAUGGUAUCAUGGUGGAGAAAGGAACAUGUCAAGAUCUCCAUCUGGAGUGGAUUUCACUUCACCUACCUAAAGCUACCUAGAAGGUAAAUAUCUAAAGUAAACCUGGAUGCCUUUCAGAGUCAGAGGAAAGAUAUUGUCUCUUACACUUUUUAGGAUCCCAUCUGAACAUAAGUAUCAAAGAUAGAUGUGUAUGUCAUUCUGUAGAGGUGCCUGAUUCCCCAUAAUAUAACAGAAGCCUACAUAAUUAGUUUAUACUAGUUGAACACUUUAGACACCUAAAAUUACGUCAAAAGAAUUUCACUUUAAAUAUAAAGAACUCCACUAAGGAGAUUAAUAUAGCUGCUCUAUAUCAGCUAAGAAUAGGAUUCUAAGAAAAGUAUCUUUAACUUCUUAAUACAUGUAUGUGAACAAACCUUUUUUACUUCUUGAUACUUGUAUGUGAAUAAACUGCUUUACGGACUGAUGACUAAUCUUAAG